ACCACUGUAGUGCAGUUGGACUUGACGUCUAGCAACACAACAUCAGACUUUAAACAAGCAGACCCGGUGGCUUUGCAAGUUAGCGGCUGCAUUCACAGCCGAGGUGCCAGUGCGAGAGCGCCCGAGUAGCCCCUGCUGAGCUUGGGACCGCAGCAACAGGACAAAACACAUAAGAGGAAGAAAAAUACAAAGGGGGAGUAAGCCGGCAAAGGAGGAAGGAGAAUCAGAGGAGACGGCUUGUUGGUUAAAGUUGAGUUUAAAAGGCAAGCCCGACUCUAGAGGAGAGACAUAUUGAUUCACCCUCUCAGCUCACAGAAGGUAAAGAGGCAGAGUUGCUCAUCCGUAGGUUGAAAGGUUGACAGACAGCCAAGAAUUGAGGAUAUUGGUCAUGACUGCGGGCCUGCUGCUGGGAGGAUAGAGAUCAGAUUAAUAGCAUCUACAGCGCAGCCUCCAUCCUGGUCUGACCCCACCUCUAAACAACCCGUCGAUCUCUCCCCCUCAGCCAUCACUGUAGUCCACAAAGUCCACUGUGACAAGAGAGCUGAACCCUCAUACGGGCUAGUUUACCAGGCUGCAGCGUCCUGUGAGAACAAAGAGUGACCUCACGAGCUGUCGCUGGAGCAGGGAAGAGACACUCACCCGCCGCGGGGCUUUAGAGACGGCGGCCUUUUAACCAAGCACAUGGGCUGUUGAUGAAGAAAGAUGGCAGUGAGACUGACAGGCGCCACCCCUUCCUCUCGGCCACCCUCCCUCCCCCCAGCGGCCGUGGCUCGGACCGGUUAAGGUUGGUCUGUUGGCAUCCAUCGCAGCAUCUGCAGCAGCUGGCAGAGCGUGGGAAGGAGCAGUAUGCAGGAAACUGAUGUACCGGCCACGAAUGCCUUCAAAGAGUGCAAAUUCCACUGCACCAAUGGGAAUUGCUUGCGUCUGGGCUCGCUGAUCUGCAACCAGCUGAAUAACUGUGGGGACAACAGCGAUGAGGAGAACUGCCCUGUGGUCACCCAACACCCUCCGCCGGGCAUCUUCAACUGUGAGUGUUGCAGGAUGCUGUUACACAUCUGUGUCUCUAUCUGUCUACCUCAAACCAUCAAACCACACCAACGCAUCCUCUCUCUGCUUUGCCUCACUUCUGAUUUUGCCCCACCGGGGACAAGGGUUUGGGGUUUGGAGCUUUUCUCAUGAGUGUUGCAAACUUUACCAAGUUUCUGACUUCUGCCCCUGGCACUUCACAUUCAAAGUUUUUAAAUGGUGCAAUAGUGAACUUCACACCUCCUUUUGUCAUUCAUCAAAGUACUUUUGGCAUGUUGUUGUUUUACAUGGAUCCAUCACUUCAGUGUAAUCCUAAUGAAGCCGUAUAACCUGAAAACCCAUGUUUCCUUUGCUACAUAUCUGGAGCGGUAUAUUAGUUUCUUCUGUGGACCAAACUACCUGUCCGGUGCAAUAGCAUGUGUUCGGCCAAUAGCAAACCGAGAUGGGUUAAGACUCUGUGACAAAUGACGAAAUGACCUCUGAGCUCUAUGUGUGCAAUG